UAAGGAAUAUUGGUCAAUGGACGCAAGUCUGAACCAGCCAUGCCACGUGAAGGAAGACGGCCCUACGGGUUGUAAACUUCUUUUGUACGGGAAAAAACCACCGGUCGUGAACCGGUGCUGAUGGUACCGUAAGAAUAAGCAUCGGCUAACUCCGUGCCAGCAGCCGCGGUAAUACGGAGGAUGCAAGCGUUAUCCGGAUUCAUUGGGUUUAAAGGGUGCGCUGGCGGAAUGAUAAGUCAGUGGUGAAAUCCUACGGCUCAACUGUAGAACGGCCAUUGAUACUGU
rnacentral:rRNA from 1 species